GGUGGGUAAGAUGGUGGAGGUCGAAGUCUCAUGUUGCAAAAUUCUAUUUAUGGUUCCAAGGUCAACCUGAAGUUUCCCGCUUGCGUUUAUCUUCAGUUAAUGCCACGCCACGUGUCAGAUGAUACUAGGGUUGUUACUGCAAAUAUUUUCCACUAACAUCAGGUCACGUGUUGGCGCGGCAGCUAAAUAGCGCCACCAUGCACCACACUUAGUACUUUAUGUUCUCGAUCUAUUGCUAAUUAGGAAU
rnacentral:lncRNA from 1 species